GUGAGGAAUAUUGGUCAAUGGGCGAGAGCCUGAACCAGCCAAGUCGCGUGAAGGAUGAAGGUUUUAUGAAUUGUAAACUUCUUUUGCAGGGGAAUAAAGUACGGUACGUGUACCGUUUUGUAUGUACUCUGCGAAUAAGGAUCGGCUAACUCCGUGCCAGCAGCCGCGGUAAUACGGAGGAUCCAAGCGUUAUCCGGAUUUAUUGGGUUUAAAGGGUGCGCAGGCGGGUUGAUAAGUCAGCGGUGAAAGUUUGCAGCUUAACUGUAAAAUUGCCGUUGAAACUGUCGAUCUUGAGUGCAAAUGAGGUAAGCGGAAUGUGUUGUGUAGCGGUGAAAUGCUUAGAUAUAACACAGAACACAGAUUGCGAAGGCAGCUUACUGGGAUGCAACUGACGCUCAUGCACGAAAGCGUGGGGAUCAAACAGGAUUAGAAACCCCUGUAGUCC
rnacentral:rRNA from 1 species